AAGUUCCGACCCGCACGAAAGGUAGAAUGACAUAGUGACUGUCUUAAACUGCUACCCGGCGAAAUUGAAAUGGCUGUGAAGAUGCGGCCUACUCACACAUGGACAAAAAGACCCCGUGAAGCUUUACUGCAACUUGGCACUGAGGACUUUAUUUUAACUGUCGAGCAUAGGUGGGAGCAACAGUGAAAUACCACUCUUUACCAUGAAGGAAUCUUACUUACCCCGACAUAAAAAUCUCGGGGGAGGACACUGUCUGGUGGGCAGUUUAACUGGGGAGGUUGCCUCCUAAAUUGCAACGGAGGCGUACAAAGGUCAGCUAACUCUGAAUGGAAACCAGAGCCUGUCGUGCAAACGCGAGAAGCUGGCUUGACUGCGAGACGUACAGGUCGAGCAGAUACGAAAGUAGGUGUUAGUGAUCCUCGGUUCCCUCGUGGGAGGGACCGGGCUUAACGGAUAAAAGCUACUCCGGGGAUAACAGGCUGAUCGCUUCCGAGAGUCCAUAUCGACGAGGCGGUUUGGCACCUCGAUGUCGGCUCCCCGCAAAGUGAUACGGUUGCAUCCUAUCCUGGGGGUGGAGAAGCUCCCAAGGGUCCGGCUGUUCGCCGGUUAAAAGGGUACGCGAGCUGGGUUCAGAACGUCGUGAGACAGUAGACCUUCGGUCUCUAUCCUGUGUGAGCGUUUUGAUUCUUGAGGGGAGCUCUCUCCAGUACGAGAGGACCGAGAGGGACAGAUCCCUGGUGUGCCUGUUGUCAGCCUGAGCGCUGGCAUCGCAGGGUAGCUAGAUCUGGAAGGGAUAAGUGCUGAAAGCAUCUCAAGUACCAAGCCCACCCCAAGAUGAAGAAUCAGUGUGAGGUCCGUUGUAGAUUACAACGUUGAUAGGCGAGGAGUGUACGCACCGCAAGGUGUUUAGCUUACUCGUACUAAUAGACC
rnacentral:rRNA from 1 species